ensembl:lncRNA
GUACCUCUGCCGGUUCCUAACUGCCCCGUUAUAAGCCCCCCCCCCCCUACAAUUGGUUCUCACCUCGCCCUCGGAGCGAGGGCAGAUGAGUCUGGUCCUAGCUUCUGGACUGCCCACCGUCGGCCUCUUAAGAGUUGGGGACGGUGGGGCAUUGUGACGCUCUCCAAACCUUGGAACGCGGUGGCAAAGUGGCCGAUCAAUAUAUGGGACAGGUGGGGGCGGGGGACGGACUCUAAGGUGGAAAGAACAAUACUACUUGGGAUUUAAGGGAACAAUCUGGAUUGUGUCUCCCCUUGGUUUUUUGGAGCUUAGAGGUAUAACGGCGACAAUCCUCCUACAAUAAGGGCUCUUCUGGGUCCCUCGUUUCCAAAGGCAUGAAAGUUCUGACCUGAAAAUGGGGGCAGCGGGUGGGUGUCACAACCAUAUAAGGCAGCUCCUUCACCCGACUCCCACCCGCAAGACCUGAGACCUGACGGAUUAAAGCAGAGAGGAGUCAGAGUGAGCGCCGCGUUGAGGAAACUGCAUUCCAGGGCAGUAAGACUGGUGCCAAGAUGCAGUCGCGGCAAAAGCAUCCGGAGGUCUUCCAUAGUAUCUGUCAGCAGUGGACUGGUGUGCUUAAGGAGAGAGAGAUUUGGAAAAUACAGACAGAGAACAAGGCCAUGUGGAGACAGAGGCAGAGACUGAAGUUGUGCCACCAAAGGCAAAGAAUAUCAAGUAUCGUCAGUAACCCCAGGAAGCUGGAAGAGGCCAGGAAAGAUUUUUCUUAGAGACCUUGGAAGGAGCCUGACCCUGGAACACCCUGAAUUUAGACUUCUGGUCCCCCCAAACUGUAAAAGAAUAAAUUUCUGUCAUUUUAAGCAAUUUGGUUUGCAGUAAUUCAUUACAGCAGCCCUAGGAAAAGUAAUACAUAUCAAUAACAUUUAUUAUUUCCAUUUCGCUGACUUUUUCAAGUUCUGUGCUUAUAAAUUCGUCAUAGUGAAGUAAGCUUUAAAUAAAACUUUGAAAGUAUAUUCAAAUUCUGUUGCUAGAGUUAGCACAAUACGGAAAGGAAUAUAAUUUUUAAAAAUAAAAUUUAAUAAUAUAAAUUAUGACACGUCUAAACUUUUAUUUUGGAGAUUUUAUAAUAAAAAGUUUAUAUUUGUUAAAAUUCAUUUAAAUUAAUAAUAUAAAGCCCUUGGAAUAUGCUAUAAAUCAAAGAUAAGUUACAUUUACUACAGCAUAAUAAGCCAUCAUUCACUGAAUCAGUGAUUUAGCAAACAUUAAUUCAAUGUCUGCCAUGCACUAGGCACUGUACUAGAUCUAAGAGCUAAAACUCCUUCUGGCACUUAUAGACCAAGUAAAAAUUAGCAAGGAGAUACAUUAUUUGGUAAAGAUUAUACUGACUGAAUCAUCGAGCUCUGUUUUUUAAAUAGUUUCAACUUUUAUUUUAGAUCUCUGAGGUACAUGUAUAGGUUUGUUAAAGAGAUAGAUUUUGUGAUGCUGACGUUCAGGAUGCAAAUGAUCCUGUUGCCCAGAUAGCGAGCAUAGUUACCAAAAGUUAGUUUUUCAACCUUUGCCUCCAUCCUUCCCGCCCCCCUCUAUUAGUCCCCAGUGUCUGUUUUUGCCAUCUUUAUGUCCGUGAGCACCCAAAGUUUAGUUCUCACAUAUAAGUAAGAAUAUGCAGUAUUUGGUUUUCUGUUCCUGAAUUAAUUUUCUUAGAAUAAUGGCCUCUAGCUGCAUCUGUGUUACAAAGAACAUGAUUUUGUUCAUUUUUAUGGCUGCCUAGUAUUUCAAUGGUGUAUACGUACUAUAUUUUCCUUAUCCAAUCCACUGUUGACAGGCGCCUACAUUAAUUCCAUAUCUUGGUUAUUGUGAAUCAAGGAGUUCUUUUCAUUUCUGAGAUUUUUAUUAUUUCACAAGAUUAGAGAAGACUUCAAUUUGUAAAUUAAAUGAUUAUUAAACAUUAUUUUCAGAAGGACUUAUUUACAAAAUAGCUUCAUUAAGGAGAGGCUAAUGAGAAAAACAUAUGAAGAGAAAGACCAAACAAACAAGAAAAAAACAAAAAAAAAAAAAACACUGUUGAGGCUCCAAUGAGAGCAACAAAACAGACAGAAAGGAACAUACUUUUUGAAGCAUGUCCCUGAAACAGUGUAUACUUAUAAUAUAAGGAUAAAAUGUAUUUACCUUGCCUGGCAAGUGAUGUAUCAGCUCACAUAUAAAUCCAAAACAAAUUGGACUGAGCAUUUCUGCAGGGUAUAGCAUCAUCAUGGGACAUUUGUUCUAUUGGCUCCAACAACUAUCCUAGCCAAAGAUAAGUCAGAAAUACCAGCAUUGCCAUAUGCUCACCUUUAAAAUACCUUCAGGAAAUUGAAGAAAAUACAUAGUUCUCUACCCUCUGUGGAUAGCUUUAUAAUUACUUUAACUACUAGACCUGCUCUAUGAAAUCACAGCUUAAAAUAAAAUAAACCUAUAUCACAGCAAAAACGGGCUAAUUGUUCAAUUUGGGGGAGUGGCAGAUGAGGGAAAACAUUGUGAUGAGUGGCCAAAACAUGUUUUCUGAGUACCUGCCUUCUCUCUGGAUCAGAUAACCACCUGGUUUUAAACCAUACAAAGUGGAUCAAGUCUGUAAACAAUUCAAUCAUUUCAAACAUUAAAAUUGUCAAUAUCACUAACACUUUUUGCUUAAAGUUACCUUUGUGACCAAGUAAGAUCAAUGUCUCACCAACCUCAUCAAUUACCACCUUGCCAAUUGCUAAGACAGUCGGAAGACUAUCACUUUUAAAAUCAACUUUAAAAUACUACAAAUAAUAACAAAGUUAAGAUCUGUCCUGAAUAAGUGUCUAGGGACAGUAAAUCCAUAUUUUAAUCAAGUGACACUUUUCUAAGGGACCAUGUAUGAUUAUUUAGGUAAACCUAGUCUCAACUAAAUGUUUCCAAAGUAAAUUUUACACUUGAG